ACAGGGCACUCAGAGCUGUUUCCGGUCAAUUCUGCUUGACACCAGUGCAGCCCUAAACAGAAAUGCAAAUGAAAGUAUUCACAGUAGUUGGCGAUACUUAUUCACAAAACAGUUUUCCAGAUGAUGUAAAACUCUUUAUUUAGGAGUUCAAGUCAAGAGGGAGUAAAAAGGAAACAACACAGAACUGGAAUAUAUCUAUAAAAUUUCCGACAUUGGACAUGAGAUAUGAGCUGUGCAGAAAGAGAACUUCAGAGACGGGCAGAGAAUCCCUCUCAAGUAUCUAGCUGAGUACUGAUCAACACAUGUGUUUGAGGAAAAUACCUGAGGUUAGGGAAAAAACCACCUGAAACAUGUUUAGAGAAAACAAUCUCCAGGGCUCAAACAGAGCAAUGAGUAGUUUGUGUUGUACCAGCCAAGGUGCGAAAAUGUAAAGCACUGGGUGUUGAGUAGAAUACUCAGAAGCUAUUGCCUCAGUAAGUGAAAUAAAAUUAGCCUAAGACUAAAGACUUCCUCUGGCCCUGUGGAAGGUUCAGGCUGCUUCCAAGCAACCUGCUUGGGUUGAAAACAAACCUCAAGAAUAUUUUCAGGGAUGUGAAAAUAUCCAGUGCUCAGCAAGGGAAAUUUGAUGUAUCUGGCAUUCAGUCAAAAAUUAUCAGAUGAGCAAAGAAGGAUGAAAAUAUGAACCAAAAUGAGGAUAAAAUAAAUCAAAAGAGACCAGAAAUGGCACCCAUAUAAACUGUGCUGAAUAUCGCUGUACUAUGUAUAUGCUAAACCAUAUCCAUGAUGCUGUUGCAUUUUUUACAGAAGUUAUUGCCGUAGCAACAUGUCAACUGUUUAAAAGGUCUUUUUCAGUAAUCAAGUUUCAGAUGUUAAAUCUCUAUUAACAAUCCACCAUUUAAAAAUGGUAUUUAUUGUCAUGUGUUUUGGAAAUUCUUAUAUGUUUAUUUGCUAUUAAAAUUUUAGUUUUCUAAUAAUCCCUUAUGCAUAUAAUUUUUAGUUAUUGUUAUUUGAUGGAUGUGCCUUUGUUAACUGUACAUUUAGGAAACAAUAGUAAUGAUUGAGGUUUUAGUUUUGAUAUUUUAUCUUAUUACAGCCCAUUUUGGAAAUGACAAGUUAUUGUUUUUAUUUUCCUAAUCUCGUACUUUUCUUCUGCUACACACUAAUAAACGGC
rnacentral:lncRNA from 1 species